rnacentral:lncRNA from 1 species
GUAGUGGGGAACUGGUGGUGGUGGAGGAGAAGUGUAGUAGUAUGGUGGAGGUGGAGAUUUCUUUGGUGGUGGGGGAGACACAUAAUAGUAUGGAGGAGGUGGUGAUUUAACUGGUGGAGGUGGAGAGGUGUAGUAGUAUGGUGGUGGUGGAGACUUCUUUGGUGGUGGGGGAGACACAUAAUGGUAUGGAGGUGGUGAUUUAACUGGUGGAGGUGGAGAGGUGUAGUAGUAUGGUGGUGGUGGAGACUUCUUUGGUGGUGGGGGAGACUCAUAAUGGUAUGGAGGAGGUGGUGAUUUAACUGGUGGAGGUGGAGAGGUGUAGUAGUAUGGUGGUGGUGGAGACUUCUUUGGUGGUGGGGGAGACACAUAAUAGUAUGGAGGAGGUGGUGAUUUAACUGGUGGAGGUGGAGAGGUGUAGUAGUAUGGUGGUGGAGGGGACUUCACUGGUGGUGGUGGAGAAGUGUAGUAGUAAGGAGGAGGUGGAGACUUAGUGGGUGGUGGUGGAGAUUUGUAAUAGUAUGGUGGAAGUGGUGAUGGUGAGGGGGGUGGUGGAGAUUUGUAGUAGUAUGGUGGUGGAGGAGAGGGUGAAG